rnacentral:lncRNA from 1 species
UUUUGUCUCUGGUGUCAGAGCUGAUUUAGUGCUGGGUAAGAGCAACUGAAGUUGUCUUUACGUGGCCAAAGACUGCCAUAGGGUAAACUGCAUCCAUCCUUUUACUUCUGCCAGUGGACAAACAGGUUCCAUGUGGAAGUUUCUAGGAAAAUACAAGACAAGUACUUUUCAAAGGAAUGUACUUGCACUAUAAAGGCUCUUAAUUUCUAUUUGUUAUGACAGGGAUAUUUUUACAUACUCAGAAGGCAAGUGUAUGAUAAUUAGUUUAAAAGGUACCAGCUAUCAAGUAAUUUUUUCUUUGCCUUCUUAAUAAGUGUUGCAGUUUUUCCUAUGAUUCUUUCUCUAGCCUGUACUAUGACAGAAGACCCGUACCAGCACGCUCCUGGAGGGAAUUUCACCAUCUAACCGCUGCCCUGUUGUGAUGUGACAAGGUUGCAUUUACCACUGUAAAUCAAUGAAAUGAAGACAUGCUCAGCGUGGUUCAGGUUCCUGAUGCUCAAGCAUACCCCAGUCCCUUCGGCUGCAGCGAUUAUAUAAUGAUUAUUAUCAACAAGGCUCAAGGUAAUUUAGCAACAGAACAAGAUACUCCAAGCUCCUGAUAACUGCUGUUAGGAGGAUAAUUUCAUCCCAGG